GACGAACGCUGGCGGCGUGCCUAAUACAUGCAAGUUGAGCGCUGAAGGUUGGUACUUGUACCAACUGGAUGAGCAGCGAACGGGUGAGUAACGCGUGGGGAAUCUGCCUUUGAGCGGGGGACAACAUUUGGAAACGAAUGCUAAUACCGCAUAAAAACUUUAAACACAAGUUUUAAGUUUGAAAGAUGCAAUUGCAUCACUCAAAGAUGAUCCCGCGUUGUAUUAGCUAGUUGGUGAGGUAAAGGCUCACCAAGGCGAUGAUACAUAGCCGACCUGAGAGGGUGAUCGGCCACAUUGGGACUGAGACACGGCCCAAACUCCUACGGGAGGUAGCAGUAGGGAAUCUUCGGCAAUGGACGAAAGUCUGACCGAGCAACGCCGCGUGAGUGAAGAAGGUUUUCGGAUCGUAAAACUCGGUUGGUAGAGAAGAACGUUGGUGAGAGUGGAAAGCUCAUCAAGUGACGGUAACUACCCAGAAAGGGACGGCUAACUACGUG
rnacentral:rRNA from 1 species